rnacentral:rRNA from 1 species
AGCAGCCGCGGUAAUUCCAGCUCCAAUAGCGUAUAUUAAAGUUGUUGCAGUUAAAAAGCUCGUAGUUGAAUUUCGGGAUUCAUCCGUUGGUCGGGCUUCACGGUCCGUACUGGUGUGAUGGGUUCCUACCUUCUGAAUAACCGGCAUGCCAUUAAUUUGGUGCGCCGGGGAAGCAGAACUAUUACCUUGAAAAAAUUAGAGUGCUUAAAGCAGGCAAGUGCCUGAAUAGGUUAGCAUGGAAUAAUAAAAUAGGACGGCAUGGUCCUAUUUUGUUGGUUUCUAGGAUCACCGUAAUGAUUAAUAGGGAUAGUUGGGGGCAUUAGUAUUCAAUUGUCAGAGGUGAAAUUCUUGGAUUUAUUGAAGACUAACUUCUGCGAAAGCAUUUGCCAAGGAUGUUUUCAUUAAUCAAGAACGAAAGUUAGGGGAUCGAAGACGAUCAGGUACCGUCGUAGUCUUAACCAUAAACUAUGCCGACUAGGGAUCGGACGAUG